UCCACUGGAUGUCAUAAGGUGAAUGCACCAAUUUGUAAGUCGCUCUGGAUAAGAGCGUCUGCUAAAUGACUUAAAUGUAAAUGUAAAUGUAAAACUUAGAUUAAUAGCCCAGCAUUUAUUUGCUUCACUGAACAUUAUUAGAUUAUUAAAGAUGGGCAUCUUCAGUAUUUGAGCCAGGCGUCUAUUUCCUUAAUGCACACAGCUUUUGCUCAAUAAAAUAUGGAAAAGACAACCAUAUUGUCUAUUGUGACCAGUAUAAACAUUCUAAUUACAAAUCCAUCACGAAUCAGACUUGCAAAGACUAGGCUGCCUAUCAUACAUCCUCAGUUUUGUGCUUCAUGGCGCCAUGGCUAGCAACGAUGACAGAAAUAAAAAAAUAAAAACAAGUUUUAAUGCACAUGACUGGGAAUAUCAGCUGUAUCCGUGGCAACCUUGUAAAAAAGAAAUAUAUAUAUUUUAAGUGUUUUAUUUGAAACAGGUGUUUUAUUUGCCGGAAUGUGUGCCGAUGUCCGGCUAUUAAAAGGGAGACUGCGUUUAGUUGAAGUUUUUACUAUACAUAAAAAAUGAAUCUUGCCUUUCUUGACCCACCAGUGCUCAAGUUGUCUCACCAUCUUGUUUCCUACCGUCCUCUUCUUUCCCCUUUCAGAUCCACUCUGAGCUGCAAGGUGUUCUAGGCAAAAACCCCAGUGCAGUGUCUACAAUGAAGGAGCUGAAGCUCCAUUGUGGCCAGGACAUCCACCAAACCCUUGGAUGUUUUGGGGAAAUUGUGACUAAGGAGGUCCCGUUUGCUCGGCUAAAUCUGAGAAAGACUCAAAUCAAUCCUCCCCAAUCUUCUCUGGAACAGCAGAGAAAUGGCAGAGCAUCCUCAACAUUGUCACCUUCAUCCCAGGAAACCUCCAUUAUGUCAGCGGGAAAUGCUCCCCUCUCCCAAUGUCAACCAACACUAAUGCGCUCGCUUUCUUGCCCCCGGUCCUCCCCCUAUCCCCAUGAACCAGAGAGACUGUCAUUUUACCACUUUUCCCCUGACUCUCGCGGACUCUCUUUACAGGCACUAUCCUCUUCCCGCUCUGACAGCCCUCUGUCCUUGUCCUCUACGUCUGCUGUGAAUGCAACAGGUCCCCAGCGAUGUACUGUAAACGCGGAAAACAAAGACUGCUCAUCAUGAUCAGGGAUUGCACUGGACACCCCUGUCCCAUAUCACAGGUAUCAGGGUGCCUCCUCAAAGUCUGACCUGAUGGUGGAACUUGUUUCCCGGGCCUUUCAUGUCAAAAGGAAAGCAGGGGAUGAAAAUGUGGGUCCUCAAAUUAAACUAAGUUGUUUGCAGCCCUUGAAGGUACCAGCGGACUCCUCCUGUGAGAGGGUUCCCCCUAUAGGUACUGAAAAGCAGGCUGGGGAUGUGGCUGCUACCGUUGUCAUAGAAAGAGAAGCUACACCCAACAUUACGGACCAGAAUGCAACGGCUACAGUGUAUGGACAAGAAGCUACUAAGGCUUCAGGCAGCCGUCAAUCAAAUCUGGUUGUUGGCAGGAGUGUGAAGACGGCCAAUCAGGUGGUUUUAGCUCCCUUCACACUCCCUGUCACCGGGAACUCCGUCACUUGGGGCAUGUCAUCAGCUAAUGCCACUCUUUUUCCUGGUACUGUGAACACUCCCUCCAGCUUUGGAUGUGUAAGGGCUGUCCCCCCAUACUUGGUUUUGUCCAACAGCGCUCCAGUUUCUGGUCCCACUGGCGCUGUGGGCAGGCUUGACAAUGGAAGCCUGGUCUUCAUUUGUAAUGACGUGCCCUUUUUCAACAUCUUGAGCCAUGUUAGAGGAGGUCAAAACCAAGUGCUAGCUGGUUCUGUCCCAGGAGGACUCCGCCCACCAUGUCUGCCAGACCCCACCUCUCCAAAGAGCCCUAUGGUUAGUUGUGAAGAAAGGUCUACUGUUAAUUUCCCUCUUAUCUAUAGUAUCUCCUAGUAGUUCAUGUGUCCUCUUCUUCCUCCCAUCUCUUUACUUCCUCUCAAAUCCAUCUUCUGUCUGUUGGUGUCCCAAAUCUCAUUUUAUGCUAGUUUGUCGAUUUGUCCUGUUUUGUAUCGUCAGUUAGGUUUUGGAAGGUUGAGUAAAUAAUGGAAAGUUAAACGUUUUGCUAAAUCGCAAUUUGGGGAAACUUUGGAAUGACUAUUGUGUUGCGUUAUCUGAAGUAUAAAAAUUGUAGAUCAGCUAUGAAUAAUUCAUAAUUCAAUAAUUCCUCAUAUCCGCAUUAUGCAAUGUAAUUGGAAACCUUUUGAAGCCUGUUUUUUAAAUGUUUUAUUAAGAUCACACCUCUGGCCUUUGAUAGUCUUAAUCUUGUUAAUAAGACACUAUCACAUCCUCUCAGCAGGAAGCUCCUCAGUCACAGUCCACUGGUCCAAUAUAUCCAAUCAGAAUUUCAACGGGUAAAGAAUAUUUCAACAGUCCAGGACACCAAGCAGCCUGCCCAGAAUGGCACUGCUCAGUCAGGAUUGUGCAGAAAGGAUGAAGCCGCCUCUACUCUCCUCGUACACACCGCUAAUGCCCAGGCAGACUCUGUACAAAUGGAAAUUUCCAAGUCAGACGUUGACCUCGUCCAGGCAGACCCAAAUCCAACAGUCUUUGUCAUGGAAAAAUCCACGGAGAUAGACAUUGUCCAUAAUAAAACUGCCCAGCCAGACUUUGUCCAGAAUGAGACCAGCCAGGCCAAACUUGUCCAGACUGCAUCUGACCAGACAGUACUUUUCCAGAAUAAAACAGCCCAGAUGGUAAUUGUUCCUGCUCAAGUAGUUGGAAUCAAGGAGGAACAAACAUUACGGCCAGUUACAGGCCCAAUGGAGUCUGUGACGACAGACAUGCCUAAACCUGCACAAACUGUGCCUGUCCAGAUUAACCUUGUGCAUUCUAACACUGUUCAAAGCGACAUUGUGCAUACUGAAACUGACCAGACCUACUUUGUCAACGUAAGCACACAAGUAUCUGGGAUCACAAUCCAGGAAGAACCGCCAGCCACAGACAGCUUAUCAGUUACAGGGUUAAUGGAACCCAUCAGAGUGAUUAUGCCUGACACACUACCUAUUGAAACUGUCCAGACUGACCCUGUCCACACACAAAUGGUUAAUGUGACUGAAAUUGUCCAAAGGGAUGUUUUUUAGCCUGAAACGGUGCAGACGAACUCUGCCUACAUUGAAACGGUGCAGACGAACUCUGCCUACAUUGAAACGGUGCAGACGGACUCUUCCUUCAUUGAAACGGUGCAGACAGACUCUGCCAGGGCAGAAACCCUGCCGAAUGAAAUUGUCCAGUCAAACUUCAAUGAGACUGAAACCGUGCAGACAGACCCUGUCCUGACUGAACCAGUUUAUGCAGUCCACUCUGCAGAGGGACCUAGCCGUAACUGACUGCACAGAGAUAAUUCAGACAGACAUGUCAACCACCAAUGAGGUAUCCACAAAUGACACUGUCAAUGUGGUCAGUGUCCCCAGCUGCACUCAGGAAGUUGAACUUGACCUCACCCUUGACCUCAGCAAUGAUUUCUGCUCUCCGAUAGUGGAGGAAGAUGACAAUAUGGCUGAUGUUGAUGUCAGUGCUGCUGACCGUAUUGAAGAGACUGGGUGCCAGGCGUCUGUUCGGCUUAAUAGCAGAUUUCCCCAGGUGUCUUUGCUUUGGAUGCCCAUCCUUGACGCCCAUGUUAGCGUCCCGCCAACCCGCUUCCAACUCCUCCCAGGGGUCAAAGGGCAGCAAACUAUCGUUCAGGUGAUACAGACGGACACGCCGCAACCAGUCUCCUUGCUCCUUCCUCCAUGUCGAGCCCAGACAGUCUGAGGAGCACCCACCAGCUACGCCCCCUCCUGGCCAGGAGGAAACACUGCACAACAUGUAGGAUGUCAGGGAAUCUCACCCUGUGUGUCGUGUGUGGACGGCACUUCCACAGGGAGUGUCACGUUCCACCCAUCUAUUCCUUAUCAACCAAACAGCUUGCCCACAUGAUGCUGUCUGCCAUCUGCCCGGUACAGUUGAAACCAGGAUUCAUUCGUAAAGACCAUACUUCUCCAGCUUGUCAAUGGCCAUCGAAAGUGAGCAUUUGCCCAGUGAGGUCGGUUCCGACUCAACUGCAGUCAGUUCAAGACCUUGUGAGAGCUGGCAGUGUAUGCUGUGCCGGGACCUCUCUGAUCUGGCGUUGCUGCAGGACUACAGCGGGACCGACGGGGGACUGUGUAUGUGCCCUCCUGACCAAAUGAGAUGUGAGCGCUUACUACUCGUCCUUUUAUGCAGAAAGUGCAGCGUUGUCCUCUACAGAUCAGCCAAGCUCUCUUCCCGGUCUUCUCACUACAUUGACAUCACCAUGAUACGGGGACAGUUGCUACGGAAACUGGUCCCCCCUUACUGCACCCCGUCGGAAUUUGUGUCCGAUGUCUGGCUUCUCCUCCACACACUGUUGAAGAGCGUGAAGGUCAGUGGACCGACUUCAGGCAUGUUUUGGGAAGGAGCUGGGCAAAACAUUUGAGGGGACCCUGCACCCUUCGCUGCUCGUCAAUCCCCACCAAGGGGAAGCGGAGGAGGCGGAACAAGAGGGGGACAAGGAGAAAGUGACCAUGAGGAAGAAUCCGAGACCUCUCGAGGUAGAGCGUGCAGGCAAAGACAUUUCACGCAGGACGAAAUGAAAGAUAAAGAAUGGGAAAAGAAUCCUGUCUUUUUAUGUAUUGAUUUGAAUUGCUUGCUGAACAUGUUUGUACAGUUGCCUCCAAAUAUAUCGGAACCACACUCAUCUUUAAAAAAUUCUGUUUUCUAAAAUAACAUUUCGUUUUCUGAAAAUGGGUUUUUGGCCGCAACUGUAGUUGGUUAAAAACAUUGGGGAUAAAGUGUUUCAAGUGUU